AUUGAACGCUGGCGGCAGGCUAAACACAUGCAAGUCGAGCGGGGGAAGGUAGCUUGCUACCGGACCUAGCGGCGGACGGGUGAGUAAUGCUUAGGAAUCUGCCUAUUAGUGGGGGACAACAUCUCGAAAGGGAUGCUAAUACCGCAUACGUCCUACGGGAGAAAGCAGGGGAUCUUCGGACCUUGCGCUAAUAGAUGAGCCUAAGUCGGAUUAGCUAGUUGGUGGGGUAAAGGCCUACCAAGGCGACGAUCUGUAGCGGGUCUGAGAGGAUGAUCCGCCACACUGGGACUGAGACACGGCCCAGACUCCUACGGGAGGCAGCAGUGGGGAAUAUUGGACAAUGGGGGGAACCCUGAUCCAGCCAUGCCGCGUGUGUGAAGAAGGCCUUAUGGUUGUAAAGCACUUUAAGCGAGGAGGAGGCUACUCUAGUUAAUACCUAGGGAUAGUGGACGUUACUCGCAGAAUAAGCACCGGCUAACUCUGUGCCAGCAGCAGCCGCCG
rnacentral:rRNA from 1 species